ensembl:lncRNA novel transcript
CUCUUCCUGGCUGCUAAAGUUGACACAAGACGGCUUCUUGGAACUCCCCCUCCUCCCGCCUAAAUGUACAGAGCAAGACUUGAAGUCAAAAGAUAGAUAGCGAUCGUGCUGAAAGUCAGGUGGAAAACAAGACUGCUAAUUUUAUGAAACAACCUAUCAACCCACUGGGAAGAGAUGACAAGAGGUACAUGGGCGCUUCUGCAGGAGGUGGAGGUGGAGGUGAAAUGCCGAGGUUCUAGACUGAUGUAAAUUUCUCCAACUAACUCCAGAUCGAGAGCCUACAAAUCCGACAAAUAUGCCCACACUUUGACAGUAACCGCCUCCCAGCACGCCCCACCACCGCCAACACACAUGGAGGGGUUUGAACUUUUCCACCUUCCGGACCUCUGCAGUCCGUCGCAGGACGCCCAAACCACAGGCCGGACACAGAUGAAGCCAGACCACAGCCCCCGCCCCAGCCACCGCGGUAGGUGGGUGCCCAAGAGACUUCUCAGGUGAGGGCAGGGGCCCCCUGAAAGGCACUAGAGAAGGCCUGCCGCCCGAAUCUCCCCAAGUGCAGGGGAGAAUUACAUUUCCCCACCUCCUACCCAACCUGCCCCGGCCGAGUUAUGGACAUCGCCGCCUCAUUCUAGACUUGAAGGCACUCUGCGGCCACCAAGAGACCACUCCGCAUCCUAGGUCGAGCCUGUGGGAGAAGCACUCGGGGCCCGGGAGGCCGAGGUGGGAAUGCCUGCUCUUGGGAUAAGUGCCGCUACAUUUGUUGGGCGGCUUUGUCAGUUUAGAAAGCUUGUCCCUGCACUCUGACAGUUUCUGCUUGCAGGGCCGGGUGCCGAGGCGAGAUAGCCAGCUUCCCUGUUUCUUAGAAUAUUUCCGUAAACCAGACUGCAUCCGAGCAGCCGGGUGGUGGUACGGCUGGUAGCAGAAGGUGCAGAUGGUGCCAGGUUUGGAAACACACCCCACUGCAUAUUAUUCCACUUCACGAGUACUAAGGAGGAGUCCAGAAUUGGUGGCCGUCCUCCCUCUUGUUUUCUCAUGCAAAUAACUCAACACUCUAAUCGUAAAUCAAA